rnacentral:lncRNA from 1 species
UGGGCUAAUGCUUGAAACACAGGAGACCCUCAAGAAGUAUCUGCAAAAUGAACACUAGUGAGAAAGGACGGCUUUUGUUAGACUUCAUCCUAUAAAUCUUGAAGACUUUAACCUAGAAGCAUUGGAGGUGUCCAAUGAGGAACUUGGGUUUUAUGAACACUAAGUCCCUACCAAUCCCAACAGUAUGUCUGAAUCUCUGAGUUCCCAUAAGAAGAAAGAUUCUUCUCAAAAUAAAUCACUAAUAAGGGAAAUUUGGUGACUGAUUGAAGCUAAGGAAGAUAACCUCAUUUCUACUUCUGUAAGGAGGAAAAUACCCUCUCUGCCAAAGAUCCAGAGCUCAGUACCUGCACAGAUGUUCUUAUGGCCCAAGGAAAUCCUUCUCCACAUCUCUUGCCCUAUUACCUUGAAAGAAAAAGUGGCUGCCCCAAAUCCCCAAACGCCAUGAACAUUGAAGGAUGGUGCCCCUGUCCAUGUUGCAUUUGGAUGCCUCUUUGGAGUAUCAGGAGGAUUUGAGCAGUGGAAGCUCUUAAGAAAGAAAAUACAAAUUAUUUUAAGAAGAAA